GCAAGUCGAACGGUAACAGGAAAGAGCUUGCUCUUUUGCUGACGAGUGGCGCACGGGUGCGUAACGCGUAUACAAUCUCCCUUUUACAGGGGGAUAGCCUUUAGAAAUGAAGAUUAAUAUCCCAUAGUAAGUAGUUUUGGCAUCAAGAUAACUUUAAAGCUUCGGCGGUAAAAGAUGAGUAUGCGUUCUAUUAGCUAGAUGGUGUGGUAACGGCACACCAUGGCGACGAUAGAUAGGGGCCCUGAGAGGGGGAUC
rnacentral:rRNA from 1 species